ACACACUCUUCAUCAUCACACAAGACUAAACUACAACUAUGAACAACAUCAUCAUCUUCAUCUGGACCAUUGCACUGUUUAUUCAAGAAUCCAGAGGAGUGACUCUGACUCAACCUGAAGUUAAAACUGUCCAACAGAGUCAAACAGCAACAAUAGAGUGUCAUAUAGAUGUAGGAAUAUUGAGCGACUACUUAGCCUGGUAUCAGCAGAAACCUGGAGAAGCUCCUAAACUCCUGAUUCAUUAUAUAAACAGCCGUUAUACUGGAACUCCAUCUAGAUUCAGUGGCAGUGGAUCUGGCAGUGAUUUUACUCUGACCAUCAGUGGAGUCCAGACUGAAGAUACAGGAGAUUAUUACUGUCAGAGUUUACACAGUGGUCCAGUGUUCACACAGUGAUAAAGAGUCGUACAAAAACCUCUGUCAGUCAGACGUCACAGUGACUGCACUGAUACAGCUGAGAGAAACUGCAGCUGCUGAUGGAGGAUCACAAACUACACAAUAUCA